rnacentral:rRNA from 1 species
CGACUAAGCGUACACGGUGGAUGCCCUGGCAGUCAGAGGCGAUGAAGGGCGUGCUAAUCUGCGAUAAGCGCCGGUAAGGUGAUAUGAACCGUUAUAACCGGCGAUACCCGAAUGGGGAAACCCAGUGUGACUCGUCACACUAUCAUUAACUGAAUCCAUAGGUUAAUGAGGCGAACCGGGGGAACUGAAACAUCUAAGUACCCCGAGGAAAAGAAAUCAACCGAGAUUCCCCCAGUAGCGGCGAGCGAACGGGGAGGAGCCCAGAGCCUGAAUCAGCAUGUGUGUUAGUGGAAGCGUCUGGAAAGGCGCGCGAUACAGGGUGACAGCCCCGUACACAAAAGCGCAUGUGCUGUGAGCUCGAUGAGUAGGGCGGGACACGUGGUAUCCUGUCUGAAUAUGGGGGGACCAUCCUCCAAGGCUAAAUACUCCUGACUGACCGAUAGUGAACCAGUACCGUGAGGGAAAGGCGAAAAGAACCCCGGCGAGGGGAGUGAAAAAGAACCUGAAACCGUGUACGUACAAGCAGUGGGAGCACAGGUUUACCUGUGUGACUGCGUACCUUUUGUAUAAUGGGUCAGCGACUUAUAUUCUGUAGCAAGGUUAACCGUAUAGGGGAGCCGUAGGGAAACCGAGUCUUAACCGGGCGUUAAGUUGCAGGGUAUAGACCCGAAACCCGGUGAUCUAGCCAUGGGCAGGUUGAAGGUUGGGUAACACUAACUGGAGGACCGAACCGACUAAUGUUGAAAAAUUAGCGGAUGACCUGUGGCUGGGGGUGAAAGGCCAAUCAAACCGGGAGAUAGCUGGUUCUCCCCGAAAGCUAUUUAGGUAGCGCCUCGUGAAUUCAUCUCCGGGGGUAGAGCACUGUUUCGGCUAGGGGGCCAUCCCGGCUUACCAACCCGAUGCAAACUGCGAAUACCGGAGAAUGUUAUCACGGGAGACACACGGCGGGUGCUAACGUCCGUCGUGAAGAGGGAAACAACCCAGACCGCCAGCUAAGGUCCCAAAGUCAUGGUUAAGUGGGAAACGAUGUGGGAAGGCCCAGACAGCCAGGAUGUUGGCUUAGAAGCAGCCAUCAUUUAAAGAAAGCGUAAUAGCUCACUGGUCGAGUCGGCCUGCGCGGAAGAUGUAACGGGGCUAAACCAUGCACCGAAGCUGCGGCAGCGACGCUGAUGCGUUGUUGGGUAGGGGAGCGUUCUGUAAGCCUGUGAAGGUGGCCUGUGAGGGUUGCUGGAGGUAUCAGAAGUGCGAAUGCUGACAUAAGUAACGAUAAAGCGGGUGAAAAGCCCGCUCGCCGGAAGACCAAGGGUUCCUGUCCAACGUUAAUCGGGGCAGGGUGAGUCGACCCCUAAGGCGAGGCCGAAAGGCGUAGUCGAUGGGAAACGGGUUAAUAUUCCCGUACUUGGUGUUACUGCGAAGGGGGGACGGAGAAGGCUAUGUUGGCCGGGCGACGGUUGUCCCGGUUUAAGCGUGUAGGUGUGUGUUCCAGGUAAAUCCGGUUCACUUUAACACUGAGGCGUGAUGACGAGGCACUACGGUGCUGAAGCAACAAAUGCCCUGCUUCCAGGAAAAGCCUCUAAGCAUCAGGUAACAUCAAAUCGUACCCCAAACCGACACAGGUGGUCAGGUAGAGAAUACCAAGGCGCUUGAGAGAACUCGGGUGAAGGAACUAGGCAAAAUGGUGCCGUAACUUCGGGAGAAGGCACGCUGACACGUAGGUGAAGUGAUUUACUCAUGGAGCUGAAGUCAGUCGAAGAUACCAGCUGGCUGCAACUGUUUAUUAAAAACACAGCACUGUGCAAACACGAAAGUGGACGUAUACGGUGUGACGCCUGCCCGGUGCCGGAAGGUUAAUUGAUGGGGUCAGCGCAAGCGAAGCUCCUGAUCGAAGCCCCGGUAAACGGCGGCCGUAACUAUAACGGUCCUAAGGUAGCGAAAUUCCUUGUCGGGUAAGUUCCGACCUGCACGAAUGGCGUAAUGAUGGCCAGGCUGUCUCCACCCGAGACUCAGUGAAAUUGAACUCGCUGUGAAGAUGCAGUGUACCCGCGGCAAGACGGAAAGACCCCGUGAACCUUUACUAUAGCUUGACACUGAACAUUGAGCCUUGAUGUGUAGGAUAGGUGGGAGGCUUUGAAGCGUGGACGCCAGUCUGCAUGGAGCCGGCCUUGAAAUACCACCCUUUAAUGUUUGAUGUUCUAACGUGGACCCGUGAUCCGGGUUGCGGACAGUGUCUGGUGGGUAGUUUGACUGGGGCGGUCUCCUCCUAAAGAGUAACGGAGGAGCACGAAGGUUGGCUAAUCCUGGUCGGACAUCAGGAGGUUAGUGCAAUGGCAUAAGCCAGCUUGACUGCGAGCGUGACGGCGCGAGCAGGUGCGAAAGCAGGUCAUAGUGAUCCGGUGGUUCUGAAUGGAAGGGCCAUCGCUCAACGGAUAAAAGGUACUCCGGGGAUAACAGGCUGAUACCGCCCAAGAGUUCAUAUCGACGGCGGUGUUUGGCACCUCGAUGUCGGCUCAUCACAUCCUGGGGCUGAAGUAGGUCCCAAGGGUAUGGCUGUUCGCCAUUUAAAGUGGUACGCGAGCUGGGUUUAGAACGUCGUGAGACAGUUCGGUCCCUAUCUGCCGUGGGCGCUGGAGAACUGAGGGGGGCUGCUCCUAGUACGAGAGGACCGGAGUGGACGCAUCACUGGUGUUCGGGUUGUCAUGCCAAUGGCACUGCCCGGUAGCUAAAUGCGGAAGAGAUAAGUGCUGAAAGCAUCUAAGCACGAAACUUGCCCCGAGAUGAGUUCUCCCUGAGACUUAGAGUCUCCUGAAGGAACGUUGAAGACGACGACGUUGAUAGGCCGGGUGUGUAAGCGCAGCGAUGCGUUGAGCUAACCGGUACUAAUGAACCGUGAGGCUUAACCUU